rnacentral:rRNA from 1 species
GGACGGGUGAGUAACACGUAAAGACUUGCCCUGCAGUCUGGGACAACUACUGGAAACGGUAGCUAAUACCGGAUAUUGCCGCAUGGCGAAAGCUAUAUGCGCUGCAGGAGAGCUUUGCGUCCCAUUAGUUAGUUGGUGAGGUAACGGCUCACCAAGACCGCGAUGGGUAGCCGGCCUGAGAGGGUGAACGGCCACAAGGGGACUGAGACACGGCCCUUACUCCUACGGGAGGCAGCAGUGGGGAAUAUUGGACAAUGGACCAAAGUCUGAUCCAGCAAUUCUGUGUGCACGAUGAGGUCUUAGGAUUGUAAAGUGCUUUCAAUCGGGAAAAAGAAAGUGAUGGUACCGAUAGAAGAAGCGACGGCUAAAUACGUGCCAGCAGCCGCGGUAAUACGUAUGUGCAAGCGUUAUCCGGAUUUAUUGGGCGUAAAGCGCGUCUAGGCGGUUUGGUAAGUCUGAUGUGGAAAUGCGGGGCUCAACUCCGUAUUGCGUUGGAAACUGCCAGACUAGAGUACUGGAGAGGUGGGCGGAACUACAAGUGUAGAGGUGAAAUUCGUAGAUAUUUGUAGGAAUGCCGAUAGAGAAGUCAGCUCACUGGACAGAUA